GAUGAACGCUGGCGGCGUGCUUAACACAUGCCAGUCGAACGGAAAGGCCGAAGCUUGCUUCGGUACUCGAGUGGCGAACGGGUGAGUAACACGUGGGUGAUCUGCCCUGUACUUCGGGAUAAGCUUGGGAAACUGGGUCUAAUACCGGAUAUGACGAUCUCUUGGAUGGGGUUGUGGAAAGCUUUUGCGGUAUGGGAUGAGCUCGCGGCCUAUCAGCUUGUUGGUGGGGCAAUGGCCUACCAAGGCGUCGACGGGUAGCCGGCCUGAGAGGGUGUACGGCCACAUUGGGACUGAGAUACGGCCCAGACUCCUACGGGAGGCAGCAGUGGGGAAUAUUGCACAAUGGGCGCAAGCCUGAUGCAGCGACGCCGCGUGGGGGAUGACGGCCUUCGGGUUGUAAACUCCUUUCGCAAUCGACGAAGCCUUUUGGUGACGGUAGGUUGAGAAGAAGCACCGGCUAACUACGUG
rnacentral:rRNA from 1 species